rnacentral:rRNA from 1 species
GACAUCAGGAGGUUAGUGCAAUGGCAUAAGCCAGCUUGACUGCGAGCGUGACGGCGCGAGCAGGUGCGAAAGCAGGUCAUAGUGAUCCGGUGGUUCUGAAUGGAAGGGCCAUCGCUCAACGGAUAAAAGGUACUCCGGGGAUAACAGGCUGAUACCGCCCAAGAGUUCAUAUCGACGGCGGUGUUUGGCACCUCGAUGUCGGCUCAUCACAUCCUGGGGCUGAAGUAGGUCCCAAGGGUAUGGCUGUUCGCCAUUUAAAGUGGUACGCGAGCUGGGUUUAGAACGUCGUGAGACAGUUCGGUCCCUAUCUGCCGUGGGCGCUGGAGAACUGAGGGGGGCUGCUCCUAGUACGAGAGGACCGGAGUGGACGCAUCACUGGUGUUCGGGUUGUCAUGCCAAUGGCACUGCCCGGUAGCUAAAUGCGGAAGAGAUAAGUGCUGAAAGCAUCUAAGCACGAAACUUGCCCCGAGAUGAGUUCUCCCUGAGACUUAGAGUCUCCUGAAGGAACGUUGAAGACGACGACGUUGAUAGGCCGGGUGUGUAAGCGCAGCGAUGCGUUGAGCUAACCGGUACUAAUGAACCGUGAGGCUUAAC